rnacentral:rRNA from 1 species
GACAGAGGGUGCAAACGUUGUUCGGAAUUACUGGGCGUAAAGCGUGUGUAGGCGGCCACGUAAGUCGGAUGUGAAAGCCCCAGGCUCAACCUGGGAAGUGCACUCGAUACUGCGUGGCUCGAGUAUCGGAGAGGUUGGUGGAAUUCUCGGUGUAGAGGUGAAAUUCGUAGAUAUCGAGAGGAACACCGGUGGCGAAGGCGGCCAACUGGACGAAUACUGACGCUGAGACACGAAAGCGUGGGGAGCAAACAGG